CAUGUGUAUAUAUAUGUUUGUGUAUGUCCAUGUGUGUAUACAUAUAUACAUACAUACACACACAAACAAGCACAUGCACACA
rnacentral:miRNA from 14 species